CGCGGGGUGGAGCAGUUGGCAGCUCGUUGGGCUCAUAACCCAAAGGUCGGAGGUUCGAGUCCUUCCCCCGCUAC
rnacentral:tRNA from 1 species